rnacentral:rRNA from 1 species
GACGGACGCUGGCGGCGUGCCUAAUACAUGCAAGUCGAGCGAGACUCUUCGGAGUCUAGCGGCGGACGGGUGAGUAACACGUGGGCAACCUGCCUGUAAGACUGGGAUAACACCGGGAAACCGGUGCUAAUACCGGAUAAUCCUUUUCCUCUCAUGAGGGAAAGCUGAAAGUCGGUUUCGGCUGACACUUACAGAUGGGCCCACGGCGCAUUAGCUAGUUGGUGAGGUAACGGCUCACCAAGGCGACGACGCGUAGCCGACCUGAGAGGGUGAUCGGCCACACUGGGACUGAGACACGGCCCAGACUCCUACGGGAGGCAGCAGUAGGGAAUCUUCCACAAUGGACGAAAGUCUGAUGGAGCAACGCCGCGUGAGCGAUGAAGGCCUUCGGGUCGUAAAGCUCUGUUGUUAGGGAAGAACAAGUACCGGAGUAACUGCCGGUACCUUGACGGUACCUAACCAGAAAGCCACGGCUAACUACGUGCCAGCCGCCGCAGUAAAAC